UUGGCUGUGGAGCCUUGUUUGGGUGUGAGAAAGAGAGGAAAGUCAGCAGCUAAUAAAGCAUAGGGGAACAAAAGCCAGGAGUGGAGAGGAGGCGGGAGCAGGAGAGAAGCAGAGUGGGCACUCAGGUGGUGUGAAGCUGAGAGAGGUGAAAGGGGACAGAAUAAAAUAAAUGAAAAAAUGGAAAGCCCACAGACUACAAUGGAGAAGGAAUGCCCUUAGACUAUACUGGAACAGAAAGAUAAACAGCUCAAAGAUUAUAAUCCCUGACUCAAUUCAUAAAACGGAAAAGAUAAUUUCUAGUCAAUUACAUUGUAUUAACUAAAUUGUCCAAAAUAAUGUACAAAUUAAAAGUGUAAUAACAAGACA